GGCAAUAGACCACAAAUCUAAGAAAACGGGAAACCGCCUGGCGUGCUGCAGUUCGUGGGGCCCUAAAGAGUCGGAUACGACUUAGCGACUGAACAAGGGAAACCCGGGAUUCAAACCACCGCCGCCUCCAGUCUACGGCACACGGAUCCGUAUUUGGGCCUAAAGGACGCGCGCCGCGAAGGGGCCACGCCGGGCGUCAGAGCUCGUCUCACCUCGCUGGGAUGCGGGGGCCGGCAGUGAGUCGCUCUGUCCUCUGCGCCGCGCUUGGGCAGCCUCGGCGGUUAGGAGAAUGGAGACGCCGCAGCCGGCGCGGCAUCUUCCCCGAACGCGGCCCUCAGGGGGUCUCCCGAGUCAGGGACGCAUCCCAGGCGGCAGUGCCUGUGUCCCCGCCCCGCGCCCCUUCUCGCGGCCUCCGGCCGCCCACGCUCACCAGGCAGCCGACCUCAACGCGCGACCACACGGGGACAGGCAGGAGACCACAGGGUCUUUUCCAGUGAGUCAGCUCUUCGCAUCAGGUGGCCAAAGUAUUGGAGUUUCAGCUUCAACAUUAGUCCUUCCAAUGAGCACCCAGGACUGAUCUCCUUUAGGAUGAAGUGGUUGGAUCUCCUUGCAGUCCAAGGGACUCUCAAGAGUCUUCUUCAACAUCACAGUUCAAAAGCAUCAAUUCUUCUGCAC
ensembl:lncRNA